GACGUAGGGCGCGAGCGUUGUCCGGAUUUAUUGGGCGUAAAGAGCUCGUAGGCGGUUUGUCGCGUCGACUGUGAAAACCUACAGCUUAACUGUGGGCUUGCAGUCGAUACGGGCAGACUUGAGUUCGGUAGGGGAGACUGGAAUUCCUGGUGUAGCGGUGAAAUGCGCAGAUAUCAGGAGGAACACCGGUGGCGAAGGCGGGUCUCUGGGCCGAUGACUGACGCUGAGGAGCGAAAGCGUGGGGAGCGAACAGG
rnacentral:rRNA from 1 species